rnacentral:rRNA from 1 species
UCCUACGGGAGGCAGCAGUGGGGAAUAUUGCACAAUGGGGGAACCCUGAUGCAGCGACGCCGCGUGAGUGAAGAAGUAUUUCGGUAUGUAAAGCUCUAUCAGCAGGGAAGAAAAUGACGGUACCUGACCAAGAAGCCCCGGCUAACUACGUGCCAGCAGCCGCGGUAAUACGUAGGGGGCAAGCGUUAUCCGGAAUUACUGGGUGUAAAGGGAGCGAAGACGGCUGUGCAAGUCUGGAGUGAAAGGCGGGGGCCCAACCCCCGGACUGCUCUGGAAACUGUAU